rnacentral:rRNA from 1 species
CGUUAGCGGCGGACGGGUGAGUAACACGUAGGUAACCUACCUAUAAGACUGGGAUAACUUCGGGAAACCGGAGCUAAUACCGGAUAAUACAUGAAACCGCAUGGUUUCAUGAUGAAAGACGGUUUUGCUGUCACUUAUAGAUGGACCCGCGGCGUAUUAGCUAGUUGGUAAGGUAACGGCUUACCAAGGCAACGAUACGUAGCCGACCUGAGAGGGUGAUCGGCCACACUGGAACUGAGACACGGUCCAG